GGACUGCCUGCGGGGCAGUGGGCUCUGCAAGGUUCAGAACCGGGAUUUGAACCCAGGCGAGCUGGUUCAAGUUUGUUCUCUUCACCGCUGGCCCGUGUGUCUUUCCCCUACCUCAAACACUCUUCCCUGGAGGAACCCUCUUCGAGAGCCCUCAGCUGGUUCCAGAAAAUGCUUCCCCAGAGCUCCGUUGGAAGCCCCUUCUGUAUGUUCCCCUGCAGCCCUGUGCUGAAGUGCCGGCCAAAGGGCAAGACUCAGGACUGAAUCACUGGUGGAUUUGCCUCUUCCUGUAGACGGUGAGGUCUCUGAGGACAGGGUCGGCAUGAUAUCCGGCACUGCAAGGCGCCCCAUUGACGCGUCUCAGCGCGCGGAUUAAUGAAACGAUGAGAAAGACCAGGUCUUGGUCCCGCGAGAGCCGCGAAUCCAGGGGGGGACAGAUCGGUGUACGAGGACCCUGACCCCUCACAGACGGGCCACAAGGGUUGCGGCCAAGUUGACAAGUCAGGUGCCAAACCCACGGGGGGAAGGGCUGGUGACCUCCGCCCAGGGAAACAAGGAAGGAAGCGAUGGUGUUUAAUUAGGGCUGAGUAAUAGCUUAGCCAGGCGAGAAGGGAGAAGAAACAACGCGAGUGAAGACAGCUCAGGACACGCUGGAGAGCGGCGAAGAGUAUUCCACUUCCGUCAUACGCACACCGAACCGAGCUCCUGGGAGAGACCAGCAUCGUCUAGCUACGGUGACUAAAACAAACCAGUAGGAAUGUCUCUUCGCUCGGGAACUCCACGCAGAGGGAGCGGGGAGACCACGGUAGGAGCUGAUAGCCACAACUUCCCCGGCCAGGAUUCUGGACCAGGAAUGGAUUACCGCUGUGCCGAGUGCUGACCGCCGCCCCCCACCCCCACCCCAGUCUGGGCCUCUGGGUAGGGGCCUGGCCACGGCUUGUGGCCUCCAGAAGCCUUCAUCUAGCACGCCGGUGACCCCCAGAUAUCAGGAAGCUAGGGAGUGGGGGAUCCAGGCAGGCUUUCUGGAGGAGGCGAUUCUUGAGUCGGGCCCUGACGGUAGAGUAGGAGCUCACCAGGACAGCAGGUGGAAGAGACUUCGGACAAAGGAACAGUGGAAAGUGGUGACCAUAGAGAUGCUGAAUCCACAGAGCAGUUACCCAGGGCCAGCUGGACCUGAGAUUCCCCCUAAGCUAUCUUGUUUAAUCCUCUUAACCCUCCGAGUUAAGGACGAGGGUGGGUUUGAGGUCCUUUUGCAGAUGAGCGGAUCAGGGCACAGAGAGUUUGUGUAACCUCUGCAAAGGCACACAGCCAGCCAGCCAGCAGUGAAGCUGGGAUUCACGGCCAGCGCCCUCGUCCCGCCGUUCCGAGCUGGGGGCACCGCACUGCCACCUGUUCAAGAAUCCACUGAGGCAUGAAACCAAAGAACGGAGGCAGGCCACGGGGAAGGGAGGGCCAGGUAAGUCACGUGGUUUCCCUGCGCCGUGGAGCACUGGGCAGUAGGAGGUAAGAAACGGGCUGGGAGGAGGACACAGCGUUCGGCCCAGGCCGGGAGGGCCACACGGGCAGCGGCCUGGGGUCUGUGUGAGACGGCUGUUUCUGGAGUUUGGGGGCUAGACGGAGAGGUCGGACCAAGUGUCCGUGGAGGUGGGUAAGAGCCAGGCUGCUGAUGGUGCAAAGCUCCAUUUUGGGAGCUGGGCAGGAAUUAACGGAGAGCCAUUGAAGACUCAGGAGCAGGGCCCGAUAGGCUCCGGGGUGAUGUCAGGAAGACAGUCUCAGAGUCGAGAGGGGAGGUGAGACUUUGGCAGAAACAUGCCUUGGAAGGAUGCUGCUGUAAUCCGGCCUUGCGGGAGGCCACGGGGGCUCACGAUCUAGAUUACCUGUGAUCUGCCACGAUCGCUUCGCGGUUUAUAUGUUCCUUUUCUGAAGAUGUGCACCGUCGCAGGGAGGAGGGUCCCAAACACAGCGUCCGGCUCCCCCCUAAACGCCCCCCACCGAAUGCUCCCUGACGUCUCCCGCCAACCCCACACGCCUGGCUCCCGCCUGUGCACAGCAAGCAGUGCCCAUCUGUAGCCACUCAGACUUCGCUCUGCACCCCAAGGAGCUCCGCCAGGCGUCUGUGCAAACACCAGAGUGGUCUCGUGAGCAGAACCGGGGGGCGGCAGAUUUCCUCCACCGAUUGCGGAGCAGGUGCUGCUCGGAUCCUUCACGGGAUCGCUCCCUGCUUAGCGUGCGUCCCACCGCUCCUGCACCCGUCCCCGCACUGGGCAGACUGCAUCGUGGUGUUAGUUCCGUUUCGUAAAUCCAUCCCGUCUCCUCUGGGCGAUGGUAAGACGGUGGAGGGCAGGGGCCUCCCAUCGCUACGUCUACCCUGAACCGAUCUUACUACCCAGGAAGGGCUCACAGCGGACAGUUAAUGGAAACGCAUUGUACGUGUAAGGGAGUGAGGCCGGCUUCUCCUGGUCAAACAAGACUCCCGUAGCGGGAAGAGACUGAUUUUUGCAAACUGAUGCGAUAAAACGUGUUGAGCAGAGCAGAGCGCACGUUUCUGAACGGCUCUUCUGAAUUCUGAACACAAGUCUGAACAGGAUCGAGCUGGGGGGGGUUUGGGGCGCUCUGGUCUGAUCGAUGAAUGGGGCAGGCCGCCGAAGGUUGAUUUUCCCCUAGAGAUUUCCAUCUUCAGGAGAAUAAAGGCCCAGGUGGGAAGGGAAGGAGGCCGCUGGAGCGUUUGUGUCUGAAUCAGCUCCAGCUCAGCCGAGGGCCGGACUUGGGAGCCUUUUAUUUUUGAGACAGAGGCUGCGGGCAGAGGCUGUCUCCAUGGCAACCAACAGCUCAGUCCCUACUUGACCCAGAAGAAGCUGAGAGGGGUAGGGGGGCACCCACUCCCUCAAUUCUCCCUGGAAAAAUGUGCUGGCUUUGGAGCAAGAGUAUCCUGCCUUCAUCCAGGAAAGCAUGUCCCAGGCGGGGCUGAGGCUCCAUUAUCACGUGGGGUUGUGGACAGUGGACAUCCCUUUGGCCCCCAAGAUAAACCUUGAGAACCUGUUGUGAGCCCACAGGGGAUGUCCCUAACCUCAGAAAUAACUAGGCAUGUCUGAGGGGUGGUGAUAUAUGGGGGACUUCUUAGAGAAGUCAGCUCAGGUAACCCUGGGAACGAAAUCCCUGUAGAAACAAAUCUGACUAAACUAAGGGAUUUGAGGGGCGCCUGGGUGGCUCAGUCGGUUGAGCUGCUGACUUCGGCUCAGGUCAUGAUCUCACAGUUCGUGGGUUUGAGCCCCACGUCGGGCUCUGUGCUCUCUCAGAGCCUGGAGCCUGCUCGGAUUCUGUCUCUCCCUCUCUCUCUGCCCCUCCUCUGCUCGUGCUCUGUCUCUCUCUCUCUCUCUCAAAAAUAAACAUUAAAAAUUUUUUUAAAUAAUAAAAAAAUAAACUAAGGGAUUUGAAGCCUUCCCCAAUGCAACUGACCUAUGUCCAGACCACCCACGUGGCCAGAGAUCCAGACACCAUCAAGCCCCCAAGAUGGACAUCCCAGUGACCGAAGGGAAGAAACCACCACCACGGACCCAUAAUCUCAAACCCUGUGACUUGAAUGCGUCACACUCACUGGCAUCUAGAGCUCUUUGUACUCCAGAGGCUCUGGAUAGAGGGUACCUCGUGCCCAGCCCCCCUUUUGCCUUGGCUCUGACAUGGAAAGGUUGUUCAUUUUUUUUUAAAACUUCUUAAACCAAGGCUAGGGCUGGAGACAUAAUUGGUUUUCGAGAAGCGUCAGUACAAAGCUUGUCCUUCGGUGGAAGAAGCCAUCUUGUACUGUUUCGUUUACAAUUAACCUACAUAAUCCUAGCAGUGAUAUAUGGGGACCUCAUUACCCAUUUUUGUCUUAUUUACCGUAGGCAAGAACUUCCCCCACUAGGUAAGCGAUGUUUGUGUUGUUCCAGAACUGGGGCUUCUCCGUUUCCUUACCUCUAUCAACAGGAGCACAGACAAGUCAUGGAGUAGAGGAGUUCACGGACCGGUUUAGACUUCGGCUGACUUGACCAGGAUCUUUGAGAUCCGUUUGAGACCUGGGUACAGUCAACAGCCAGACUUGGCAGGGAGGCCUAACGGGUCACUUCACCCCGCAGCCCCUUCCUACUGGAGCACCUCUUUGGCCACUGCUAUCGGAGGGAUGUUUCCAUUUAGGUGUCACAGAACAGACAUUUGUCUUGAAUAUCCUUUUUUUUUUUGCCCUCUUAAAGCGAGACUAAUUUAACUCCAGUUUGGCUGAAAACUUCCUAGGGGAGAAAAUUCGGUCUACUGGUUUGGUAUAGAUAAAUGGACAUGAAACUUUUUAAAAGUAAAGAUCAUUGUCUUGAGUUUCGUGUGAAGCUAGCGUCACCCUAUUUUGACUUUCUUGUUCAGGCCAGGCGUAAAACUUUUUUUCCCAGGAGGUGGAAGGAUUUUAAAAUUUUCUAUACGAAAUCAUCCCCCCACACACAAAGGGCCGUGUGUUUUUAUAAAUACAGUAAAACCUUGGAUGGCGAGUAGCUUGUUCUGUGAGCGUUCCACAAGACGAGCAAACAUUUCUAAUAAAUCUUAACCUGAUAAACAAGUGAAUUGUCUUGCGAUGCGAGUAGUAUGUGACACCGAACGUCACAUGAUCACAACUGAGCCAAUGGUUCUUGAAAUUCGCUUUGAUAUACAAGCGCUUUGGAUGACGAGCAUGUUUCCAGCAUGAACUUUGCUUGCAAACCAAGGUUUUACUGUCUAUAACUCAGUAAGCAAAGAACUACAGAAGCCACCGUUUUAUUUCUCCUCUCACCACGUGCAUGUUUGGUCAUUGUCUUACGCACUGUCUCAAAUUCCCCUGGUGUUUUGUUUUCUUUUGUUUUGUUCUGCAUAGUGUUGUGUCUACCUAAGGAGCUGAGCUGACCUUUCCACAGAGAGGCCCUGGAGUCUAAAAUGAUCAUGGGGCGCCUGGGU
rnacentral:lncRNA from 1 species